UUACGAUCCUGGCUCAGAUUGAACGCUGGCGGGAUGCUUUACACAUGCGUGGAACGGCAACACGGACUUCGGUCUGGUGGCGAGUGGCGAACGGGUGAGUAAUGUAUCGGAACGUGCACUAUUAGCGGGGGAUAACUACGCGAAAGCGCUGGCCUGGCCACCGCAUACGCCCUUCGAGGAAAGCGGGGGACCUUCGGGCCUCGCAUAUUAAACCCGAUAUCGGAUUAGCUAGUUGGUGGGGUAACGGCUCACCGGGCGACGAUCCGUAGCUGGUUUGAAGGACAAACCAGCCACACUGGGACUGAGACACGGCCCAGACUCCUACAGGAAGGCAGCAGUGGGAAUUUUGGACAAUGGAAACCAGUCCAGCCAUCCCGCGUGUGCGAUGAAGGCCUUCGGGUUGUAAAGCACUGCAGCGGGAAAGAAGCAGCACAGGAUAAUACCCGUGCAACGGCGAGCCUGCAGAAUAAGCACCGGCCCCAACUACGUGCCAGCAGCCGCGGUAAUACGUAGGGUGCAAGCGUUAAUCGGAAUUACUGGGCAUAAAGCGUGCGCAGGCGGUUCGGAAAGAAGAUGUGAAAUCCCAGAGCUUAACUUUGGAACUGCAUUUUUAACUACCGAGCUAGAGAGCGUGUCAGAGGAGGUGGAGAUUCCGCGUGUAGCAGUGAAAUGCGUAGAUAUGCGGAGGAACACCGAUGGCGAAGGCAGCCUCUGGGGCUAACGACGCUCAUGCUGCGAAAGCGUGGGGAGCAAACAGGAUUAGAUACCCUGGUAGUCCACGCCCUAAACGAUGUCAACUAGCUGUUGGGGCCUUCGGGCCUUGGUAGCGCAGCUAACGCGUGAAGUUGACCGCCUGGGAAGUACGGUCGCAAGAUUAAAACUCAAAGGAAUUGACGGGGACUGACCCACUGAAGCGGUGGAUGAUGUGGAUUAAUUCGAUGCAACGCGAAAAACCUUACCUACCCUUGACAUCGCUGUCUGGAAUCCCGAAGAGAUUUGGGAGUGCUCGCAAGAGAACCGGAACACAGGUGCUGCAUGGCUGUCGUCAGCUCGUGUCGUGAGAUGUUGAGUUAGAUCCCGCAACAGGCACAACCCUUGUCAUUAGUUGCUACGAAGGCACUCUAAUGAGACUGCCGGUGAUAAACCGGAGGAAGGUGGGGAUGACGUCAAGUCCUCAUGGCCCUUAUGGGUAGGGCUUCACACGUCAUACAAUGGUCGGGACGAGAGGGUCGCCAACCCGCGAGGGGAGCCAAUCGGCUUGAUCAGUCCGGAUCGCAGUCUGCAACUCGACUGCAGUCGCGAAUCCCUUAUUAAUCGCGGAUCAGCAUGUCGCGGUGAAUACGUUCCCGGGUCUUGUACACACCUGUGGGAGUGGGUUUUACCAGAAGUAGUUAGCCUAACCGUAAGGAGGGCGAUUACCACGGUAGGACAAGAGCUGGGUGAAGUCGUAACAAGGU
rnacentral:rRNA from 1 species